rnacentral:rRNA from 1 species
AUUGAACGCUGGCGGUAUGCCUUACACAUGCAAGUCGAACGGUAACAGGUCUUCGGAUGCUGACGAGUGGCGAACGGGUGAGUAAUACAUCGGAACGUGCCCGAUCGUGGGGGAUAACGAGGCGAAAGCUUUGCUAAUACCGCAUACGAUCUACGGAUGAAAGCGGGGGAUCUUCGGACCUCGCGCGGACGGAGCGGCCGAUGGCAGAUUAGGUAGUUGGUGGGAUAAAAGCUUACCAAGCCGACGAUCUGUAGCUGGUCUGAGAGGAUGAUCAGCCACACUGGGACUGAGACACGGCCCAGACUCCUACGGGAGGCAGCAGUGGGGAAUUUUGGACAAUGGGCGAAAGCCUGAUCCAGCCAUGCCGCGUGCAGGAUGAAGGCCUUUGGGUUGUAAACUGCUUUUGUACGGAACGAAAAGCCUCUUUCUAAUAAAGAGGGGUCAUGACGGUACCGUAAGAAUAAGCACCGGCUAACUACGUG